rnacentral:rRNA from 1 species
AGCAGCCGCGGUAAUUCCAGCUCCAAUAGCGUAUAUUAAAGUUGUUGCAGUUAAAAAGCUCGUAGUUGAAUUUCGGGAUCAGUACGCUGGUCAUGCCUUCGGUAUGUACUGGUGUCACUGGUUCCUCCCUUCUGAAGAACCAUCAUGCUAUUAAUUUAGUGUGGUGGGAAAUCAGGACUGUUACCUUGAAAAAUUAGAGUGUUUAAAGCAGGCUCGCGCUUGAAUACAUUAGCAUGGAAUAAUGAAAUAGGACGUUAAUUCUAUUUUGUUGGUUUUCUAGGAUUGACGUAAUGAUUAAUAGGGAUAGUUGGGGGCAUUAGUAUUCAAUUGUCAGAGGUGAAAUUCUUGGAUUUAUUGAAGACUAACUACUGCGAAAGCAUUUGCCAAGGAUGUUUUCAUUAAU